rnacentral:rRNA from 1 species
UACGGAGGGUGCAAGCGUUAUCCGGAUUCACUGGGUUUAAAGGGUGCGUAGGCGGGCAGGUAAGUCCGUUGGUGAAAUCUCUGAGCUUAACUCAGAAACUGCCAUGGAUACUAUUUGUCUUGAAUAUUGUGGAGGUAAGCGGAAUAUGUCAUGUAGCGGUGAAAUGCUUAGAUAUGACAUAGAACACCAAUUGCGAAGGCAGCUUACUACACAGUUAUUGACGCUGAGGCACGAAAAGCGUGGGGAUCAAACAGG